CAGUCGCCGCGGGAAUACAAAGGGUGCGAGCGUUAAUCGGAUUUACUGGGCGUAAAGCGUGCGUAGGCGGCUUCUUAAGUCGGAUGUGAAAUCCCUGAGCUUAACUUAGGAAUUGCAUUCGAUACUGGGAAGCUAGAGUAUGGGAGAGGAUGGUAGAAUUCCAGGUGUAGCGGUGAAAUGCGUAGAGAUCUGGAGGAAUACCGAUGGCGAAGGCAGCCAUCUGGCCUAAUACUGACGCUGAGGUACGAAAGCAUGGGGAGCAAACAGGAUUAGAUACCCCAGUAGUCCCUGUCUCUUAUAC
rnacentral:rRNA from 1 species